rnacentral:rRNA from 1 species
UUCCGGUUGAUCCUGCCGGAGGUCACUGCUAUUGGGAUUCGGCUAAGCCAUGCAAGCGGAGGGCGCGGUCGAAAGAUCGUGGCCCCGCACACUGCUCAGUAACACGUAGUCAACCUACCCUUGGGACGGGGACAACCUCGGGAAACUGAGGCUAAUACCCGAUAGGUGAGGGACGCUGGGAUGCCUCCUCGCCCAAAGCUCCGGCGCCCAAGGAUGGGACUGCGGUCUAUCAGGCUGUUGGUGGUGUAACGGACCACCAAACCUACGACGGGUACGGGCGAUGGGAGUCGGAGCCCGGAGAUGGGGACUGAGACAAGGCCCCAGGCCCUACGGGGCGCAGCAGGCGCGAAAACUCCGCAAUGCGCGCAAGCGUGACGGGGGGAUCCCAAGUGCCGUUGGUCUUUCGAUCGACGGUUUUUAGGAAGUCUAAGAAGCUUCCAGAAUAAGGGCUGGGCAAGACUGGUGCCAGCCGCCGCGGUAACACCAGCAGCCCAAGUGGUGGCCACGAUUAUUGGGCCUAAAGCGCUCGUAGCCGGAUCAGCAAGUCCCUUGUGAAAUCGGGCCGCCUAACGGUUCGGCGGGCAAGGGAUACUGUUGGUCUUGAGGCCGGGAGAGGUCGGAGGUACUCCUGGGGUAGCGGUGAAAUGCUCUAAUCCUAGGGGGACCACCAGUGGCGAAGGCGUCCGACCAGAACGGACCUGACGGUGAGGGGCGAAAGGCUAGGGGAGCGAACGGGAUUAGAUACCCCGGUAGUCCUAGCUGUAAAGCAUGCGGGCCAGGUGUCUAGCGCUCCUUGAGGGCACUAGGUGCCAGGAGGGAAAGCCGAUUAAGCCGCCGCCUGGGAAGGUACGGCGCAAGGGCUGAAACUCAAGACAUUCGGCGGGCGGAGCAUCACAGAGGUCGCGAUCUGCGGUUCAAUUGGACUCAAUCGACGGU